AACCGGAUUAGAUACCCUGGUAGUCCACGCCGUAAACGAUGAGUGCUAAGUGUUAGAGGGUUUCCGCCCUUUAGUGCUGCAGCAAACGCAUUAAGCACUCCGCCUGGGGAGUACGGUCGCAAGACUGAAACUCAAAGGAAUUGACGGGGGCCCGCACAAGCGGUGGAGCAUGUGGUUUAAUUCGAAGCAACGCGAAGAACCUUACCAGGUCUUGACAUCCUUCGCUACUUCUAGAGAUAGAAGGUUCCCCUUCGGGGGACGAAGUGACAGGUGGUGCAUGGUUGUCGUCAGCUCGUGUCGUGAGAUGUUGGGUUAAGUCCCGCAACGAGCGCAACCCUUGAUCUUAGUUGCCAGCAUUCAGUUGGGCACUCUAAGGUGACUGCCGGUGACAAACCGGAGGAAGGUGGGGAUGACGUCAAAUCAUCAUGCCCCUUAUGACCUGGGCUACACACGUGCUACAAUGGAUGGUACAAAGGGCUGCAAGACCGCGAGGUCAAGCCAAUCCCAUAAAACCAUUCUCAGUUCGGAUUGCAGGCUGCAACUCGCCUGCAUGAAGCCGGAAUCGCUAGAAUCGCGAUCAGC
rnacentral:rRNA from 1 species